AACGAACGCUGGCGGCGUGCUUAACACAUGCAAGUCGAACGCGAAAGGGACUUCGGUCCUGAGUAAGUGGCGCACGGGUGAGUAACGCGUAGAUAACCUGUCUUCAUGUCUGGAAUAAUACGCCGAAAGGGGUACUAAUACCGGAUAUUCUUGCUUUUCAUAAGCUAUGCAAGCAAAGGUGGCCUCUGCAUAUGCUACUGCAUGAAGAGGGGUCUGCGUACCAUUAGCUAGUAGGUGGGGUAAUGGCCUACCUAGGCGACGAUGGUUAGCGGGUCUGAGAGGAUGAUCCGCCACACUGGCACUGGAACACGGGCCAGACUCCUACGGGAGGCAGCAGUGAGGAAUAUUGCGCAAUGGGGGAAACCCUGACGCAGCGACGCCGCGUGAGUGAAGGAAGGCCUUCGGGUCGUAAAGCUCUGUCAAGAGGAAAGAAGUGUACAAUGGCUAAUACCUGUUGUAUCUGACGGUACCUCUAAAGGAAGCACCGGCUAACUCCGUGCCAGCCGCCGC
rnacentral:rRNA from 1 species